GUAAGGAAUAUUGGUCAAUGGGCGGAAGCCUGAACCAGCCAUGCCGCGUGCAGGAAGACGGCCCUACGGGUUGUAAACUGCUUUUGCAGGGGAAUAAACCCCCGUAUGUAUACGGGGCUGAAUGUACUCUGAGAAUAAGGAUCGGCUAACUCCGU
rnacentral:rRNA from 1 species